GAUGAAGAACGCAGCGAAAUGCGAUGAGUAAUGUGAAUUGCAGAAUUCAGUGAAUCAUCGAAUCUUUGAACGCACAUUGCGCCCGCCAGUAUUCUGGCGGGCAUGCCUGUUCGAGCGUCAUUUCAACCCUCAAGCCCAGCUUGGUGUUGGGGAUCGGCACAGGCGCCCUCGGGCGCCCGCCGUCCCCUAAAUCUAGUGGCGGUCCCGCUGCAGCCUCCUCUGCGUAGUAGUUUUCUCCUCGCAAGGGCAGCUCGGUGGCGACCUCGCCGUAAAACCCCCAACUUCUGAAAGGUUGACCUCGAAUCAGGUAGGAAUACCCGCUGAACUUAAGCAUAUCAAUAAGCGGAGGA
rnacentral:misc_RNA from 1 species